AGAGUGAAGAGCCACGUAAUUGCUUCUCCACUUGUUUCGGAGCAAAGCAGAGUUUGUAGCAAAUGAUGAUAUCUGCUAAAAAGUCACAGAACACGGCAAAUCUCCUGAAGGUUAAUGUUGGAGCUAAACCUAAAUAAUGGGUCCAGAUCCCAGAGAGCAUGAAGAAAGGUGUACCCAUCUAUUUGUGUCGCUAAGUAACUCAGAGGCUUCCACAAGGAUCAGUGCUCCACUGUUAGCAGACACAUUGUACAUCAUGUGAGAAACAGCUGAGCAAUGAUUGACCUUGACAUCUUGAUUUUGGGCAAGACAAUGGGGGCAGGAAGAAAAUCUGCUCUUGGAAAGAGGUAGGUGCUUUGAAGUGAAAGGGAAAUACACAUUUAUAUUACUAUGAGUGUAGGGUCAAUUAAAGCCUAGACACAGGAUAAUUCUACACAGCACAAAAAGCCUGUCAUUGCCUGGGCACUGGAGAAAGAAAAUAGCAGUGUUAUAAUUUGCCCUGGCUAUUACUGCGAUUCUUAGCUGAGCUGAAGAUCCCAUGAGGAUGGCC
rnacentral:lncRNA from 1 species